rnacentral:rRNA from 1 species
UAGUAUUAUACCGNAACUGCGAAAGGGUCAUUAUAUAAGUUAUCGUUUAUUUGAUAGCACAUUUACCUACUUGGAUAACCGGGGUAAUUCUAGAGCUAAUACAUGCAAAAAAUCCCCACUUGAGAGGGGAUGUAUUUAUUANAUUAAAAGCCAACNCCCUUCGGGGCUUCUUGGUGAUUCUUGAAAACUUGCCAAAUCACAUGCCCUUGCCCCGGCGAUGGUNCAUUCAAAUUUCUUCCCUAUCAUCUUUCNAUGCGAGGGUCUUGCCGUCCCAUGGAUGCCGGGGGUAACGGAAAUAANAGG